rnacentral:tRNA from 1 species
CGCGGCGUUGGGCGGGGCCAUGUUCACCGUUGAGCAGACGGAGCAGGCGCUGGUGCUGCGCUUCGGCGAGCCUGUCGCCGGCCGCGGCC